rnacentral:rRNA from 1 species
CAGCACCUCAAGUGGUCAGGAUGAUUAUUGGGCCUAAAGCAUCCGUAGCCGGCGCUGUAAGUUUUCGGUUAAAUCUGUACGCUCAACGUACAGUCUGCCGGGAAUACUGCAGCGCUAGGGAGUGGGAGAGGUAGACGGUACUCGGUAGGAAGGGGUAAAAUCCUUUGAUCUAUUGAUGACCACCUGUGGCGAAGGCGGUCUACCAGAACACGUCCGACGGUGAGGGAUGAAAGCUGGGGGAGCAAACCGGAUUAGAUACCCGAGUAGUCC